ACAAUGAAAGGUUUUACAAAGGAUUGAAAAGCUCUAAAUAAGCAAAUAUGACAAUGAUAAACAAUAGAACCCGGAAGAAUCCUUUUGCCGUUGGAAGCGUGGGAAAUGAUGAUUCUUCCGAUGUGGAUCGCGUAGGCUUGAGUAUGAGCUUUGAAUCCCGAGCGGAAGAGAGUGGUUGAGCUUGAAAUCACUUGGGAAGCUUGAAAGCACUUGAUUUCUUCACUUGAAUGCACUCACUCC
rnacentral:lncRNA from 1 species